GGUAAAGUGAAGAGCUGAGGAGUUUGUCUGUUUGAGGUCUGUGGAGGCCUGAGGCCUAGUCCUGCAACCACGCUUGUACUGCAAGUUAACCCCUGCACCUGUAGUGAAAGUCAAAGCUGCAAGAUUUUUUUGUAUUAUGUGUAUAUCUCACAUGAAGUGGGUGGAUACUAUAUAACAGAUAAGCGAGCAACAGGAAACUGUCAGCGGGACCUGAGGAAACGCCAAAUGGCGUGCAACAGUGCAGCAGGACUUUCAGGUUGCAAUGCGUCCGAGACCUGACAUCACUAGUCAGCUGAUGACAUGGAUCCUGUCUGCUUCAAUGGGUGGAGCGAUCGCUUGGUAGGAGAGAGAUCAAUCUGCAACUAAUUCAACAGCUGUAGGCACCCUGAUUGAAAACACUGGUCUUUUGA